rnacentral:rRNA from 1 species
UACGUAGGGGGCUAGCGUUGUCCGGAUUUAUUGGGCGUAAAGAGCGUGUAGGCGGCCAGAUAGGUCCGUUGUGAAAACCCGAGGCUUAACCUCGGGACGUCGAUGGAAACCAUUUGGCUAGAGUCCGGAAGAGGAGAGUGGAAUUCCUGGUGUAGCGGUGAAAUGCGCAGAUAUCAGGAGGAACACCAAUGGCGAAGGCAGCUCGCUGGGACGGUACUGACGCUAAGGCGCGAAAGCGUGGGGAGCGAACAGG